ACGAACGCUGGCGGCGUGCCUAAUACAUGCCCGUAGAACGCUGAAGGAGGAGCUUGCUUCUCUGGAUGAGUUGCGAACGGGUGAGUAACGCGUAGGUAACCUGCCUGGUAGCGGGGGAUAACUAUUGGAAACGAUAGCUAAUACCGCAUAAUAGCAGUUGUUGCAUGACAACUGUUUGAAAGGUGCAAUUGCACCACUACCAGAUGGACCUGCGUUGUAUUAGCUAGUUGGUGGGGUAACGGCUCACCAAGGCGACGAUACAUAGCCGACCUGAGAGGGUGAUCGGCCACACUGGGACUGAGACACGGCCCAGACUCCUACGGGAGGCAGCAGUAGGGAAUCUUCGGCAAUGGACGGAAGUCUGACCGAGCAACGCCGCGUGAGUGAAGAAGGUUUUCGGAUCGUAAAGCUCGGUUGUAAGAGAAGAACGAGUGUGAGAGUGGAAAGUUCACACUGUGACGGUAUCUUACCAGAAAGGGACGGCUAACUACGUG
rnacentral:rRNA from 1 species